AUCAACUUUCGAUGGUAGGAUAGAGGCCUACCAUGGUGGUAACGGGUAACGGGGUGUUAGGGCACGACACCGGAGAGGGAGCCUGAGAAACGGCUACCACAUCCAAGGAUGGCAGCAGGCGCGCAAAUUACCCAAUCCCGACACGGGGAGGUAGUGACAAUAAAUAACAAUACGGGGUUCUUUUGGAUUUCGUAAUUGGAAUGAGUACAAUUUAAAUCUCUUAACGAGGAACAAUUGGAGGGCAAGUCUGGUGCCAGCAGCCGCGGUAAUUCCAGCUCCAAUAGCGUAUAUUAAAGUUGUUGCAGUUAAAAAGCUCGUAGUUGAAUUUCGGGGUUAGUAGGCUGGUCAUGCCACAGGUAUGCACUGGUCUUACUGAUUCCUCCUUCCUGAUGAACCGUAAUGCCAUUAAUUUGGUGUUGCGGGGAGUCUGGACUGUUACUUUGAAAAAAUUAGAGUGUUUAAAGCAGGCUAACGCUUGAAUACAUUAGCAUGGAAUAACGAAAUAGGACGUUCGAUCUUAUUUUGUUGGUUUCUAGGAUUGACGUAAUGAUUAAUAGGGAUAGUUGGGGGCAUUAGUAUUCAAUUGUCAGAGGUGAAAUUCUUGGAUUUAUUGAAGACUAACUACUGCGAAAGCAUUUGCCAAGGAUGUUUUCAUUAAUCAAGAACGAAAGUUAGGGGAUCGAAGACGAUCAGAUACCGUCGUAGUCUUAACCAUAAACUAUGCCGACUAGGGAUCGGAUGAUGUUAAUUUUAUAAUGACUCAUUCGGCGCCUUACGGGAAACCAAAGUGUUUGGGUU
rnacentral:rRNA from 1 species